UCGAGGAUAUUUAGCAAUGGGCGAAAGCCUGACUAUGUGACGCCGCGUGAGGGAUGAAGGUCUUCGGAUCGUAAACCUCUUUCGAUGGGAAAGAAACCUCCGGUUAACUCCCGGAGCUGACGGUACCCAGAGAAGAAGCCACGGCCAACUCUGUGCCAGCAGCCGCGGUAAUACAGAGGUGGCGAGCGUUACUCGGAUUUAUUGGGUGUAAAGGGCAGGUAGGCGUCCUAUUAAGUUAGAAGUGAAAUCCUGCAGCUCAACUGCAGAACUGCUUCUAAAACUAACAGGAUUGAGGACAGAAGAGGAAAGCGGAAUUCCCGGUGUAAGAGUGAAAUCUGUAGAGAUCGGGAGGAACACCAGUGGCGAAAGCGGCUUUCUGGUCUGUCCCUGACGCUGAACUGCGAAAGCUAGGGGAGCAAACAGG
rnacentral:rRNA from 1 species